rnacentral:rRNA from 1 species
GACGAACGCUGGCGGUGUGCUUAACACAUGCAAGUCGAACGGUAAGGCCCUUUUUGGGGUACACGUGUGGCGAACGGGUGAGUAACACGUGUGUAACCUUCCCUCAUCUCUGGGAUUACAGUCGGAAACGGUUGCUUAUACUGGCUAUGAUCUUGCAAGGCAUCUUGUGGGUUGGUAAGAUCUUUUUGUUUGGGGUUGGACUCGCGGCCUAUCAGCUUGUUGGUGAGGUAGUGGCUCACCAAGGCUCCGACGGGUACCCGUCCUGAGAGGGCGACCGGCCACAUUGGGACUGAGAGACGGCCCAAACGCCUACGGGAGGCAGCAGUGGGGAAGAUUGAACAAGGGACGGAAGGCUGAUGCAGCAGCGCCGCGUGCGGGAUGACGGCCUUCGGGUUGUAAAACGCUUUCAAGUGUGACGAAGCUUUUUGUGACGGUAGCAGUAGAAGAAGCACCGGCUAACUACGUG